rnacentral:rRNA from 1 species
UACAGAGGGUGCGAGCGUUGUCCGGAAUCACUGGGCGUAAAGGGCGCGUAGGCGGCCUGAUAAGUAGGGGGUGAAAUCCUGCGGCUUAACCGCAGGGCUGCCUUCUAAACUGUCAGGCUAGAGCACGGUAGAGGCAGAUGGAAUUCCCGGUGUAGCGGUGGAAUGCGUAGAGAUCGGGAAGAACAUCAGUGGCGAAGGCGGUCUGCUGGGCCGUUGCUGACGCUGAGGCGCGACAGCGUGGGGAGCAAACAGG